CGUAGGGUGCAAGCGUUGUCCGGAAUUAUUGGGCGUAAAGAGCUCGUAGGCGGUCUGUCGCGUCUGCUGUGAAAACUCGGGGCUUAACCCCGGGCCUGCAGUGGGUACGGGCAGACUAGAGUGCGGUAGGGGAGACUGGAAUUCCUGGUGUAGCGGUGAAAUGCGCAGAUAUCAGGAGGAACACCGGUGGCGAAGGCGGGUCUCUGGGCAGUAACUGACGCUGAGGAGCGAAAGCGUGGGGAGCGAACAGG
rnacentral:rRNA from 1 species